GUGCCAGCCGCCGCGGUAAUACCGGCAGCCCGAGUGAUGGCCGAUCUUAUUGGGCCUAAAGCGUCCGUAGCUGGCUGCGCAAGUCCGUCGGGAAAUCCACUCGCCCAACGGGUGGCCGUCCGGUGGAAACUACACGGCUUGGGACCGGAAGGCGCGACGGGUACGUUCGGGGUAGGAGUGAAAUCCCAUAAUCCCGCACGGACCACCGAUGGCGAAAGCACUUCGAGAAAACGGAUCCGACAGUGAGGGACGAAAGCCAGGGUCUCCAACCGGAUUAGAUACCCCAGUAGUCC
rnacentral:rRNA from 1 species